CCUACGGGAGGCAGCAGUGGGGAAUCUUGCGCAAUGGGCGAAAGCCUGACGCAGCCAUGCCGCGUGAAUGAUGAAGGUCUUAGGAUUGUAAAAUUCUUUCACCGGGGACGAUAAUGACGGUACCCGGAGAAGAAGCCCCGGCUAACUUCGUGCCAGCAGCCGCGGUAAUACGAAGGGGGCUAGCGUUGCUCGGAAUUACUGGGCGUAAAGGGAGCGUAGGCGGAUAGUUUAGUCAGAGGUGAAAGCCCAGGGCUCAACCUUGGAAUUGCCUUUGAUACUGGCUAUCUUGAGUACGGAAGAGGUAUGUGGAACUCCGAGUGUAGAGGUGAAAUUCGUAGAUAUUCGGAAGAACACCAGUGGCGAAGGCGACAUACUGGUCCGUUACUGACGCUGAGGCUCGAAAGCGUGGGGAGCAAACAGGAUUAGAUACCCUGGUAGUCCACGCUGUAAACGAUGAGUGCUAGUUGUCGGCAUGCAUGCAUGUCGGUGACGCAGCUAACGCAUUAAGCACNCCGCCGUCGGGAGUACGGUCGCGAGAUAAACUACAAGAAGUAGAGCGNGAGACGNGCGACGCGACGACGAGGGAGAGG
rnacentral:rRNA from 1 species